rnacentral:lncRNA from 1 species
CAUGUGACCAUUUCUAGCAAGCAAACAAACCAAAAACAGAAAGAGCAUUCAUUUACACAAAAGGCUCCAGCACAAAAUGCCUGCAGCUUCCAAAAACAUUUCAUUUGUGCAGAUUGGAUUACCAAGCUUGUCUAUGUGGAACUUUUGCAAAUCUGAAUCGGAUUACCUUUGUACUGUUUGGAUUUUACAUCCCUCCCUUACCAUUCUGGAGGAAUGGACCCACUGCCUUUAUCCUAACCGCUACUAUGGAAACCCGCAUGUAGGAUGCAAAGGAAUGAGAGUGAACAAUGAGUACAGUGACCAAUGACAAGCAGCAGAAGAAUCAUUGUAAAUGAGCCUUUUCUCCCUGUCUACUUUUCAAGAGAGCUAAAUCAACAGCGCAAAGACACCCUCAAACCCCACACGCUUCUUAAGAAGGAGAAUUCUGCAAACCUGCACUUUCGUCGCAAAAUAUAUAUCUCAGCACAACACUGCAUCAUCUCAGCAUGGCAUUUAGGAAGUUUCAGGAAAGUUCAAACGGGAGACUUCAGCAAAUCUUUUGGAACUUUGAAACGAUCGUGUCAACAAAACAUGAGCAAUGGGCUAAAAAGACCCACGUUGAGGCAUGUUUUAUCUUUCCAGGUUCAAGAGUUUGAGCUCAAGAAAAUCCCAGGAUUUUGCUUUGCUAAUAUGAAGCUACCUCGUUUGAUUUAAUUUGCUGGUUUCUUAUCACAUAGAAAACAUGCUGCUCCUGCACACACACACACACACACACACACACACACACACACAAAACAGGCUGAAGGCUGAAAGAGACCUUGUGUUAGACUGAACCUUCCACUCUGUCCGCUGGCACAAUCAAUGAACUGUUGUAUGAAGCAGAUAUAACUAAACAUUGAUCCAUAGUUUAUUGGAAAAAAUAUGCUUGGUUAAAUGGGUGUAACUUCAAGUUAGUCAAACAGCUAGAUUUAUGUAGCAAAUGCAUUAAAUCGCAUGUGUCCAAAUCGAAAUCCAUUGAUUGUGUAUUUAUUCUAAAAGGUGACUCAUUUUAUUUAUUAAUUUUACUUUCAGUUACACUUUAUUUGAAGGUGUCCUUGUUUCAGUGUAAUUAUUCAUUUA